rnacentral:lncRNA from 1 species
UUUGAUAGAAAUAUUAGAACUAUUGUCAAGCCAUAAAAUAAUGAAAGAACAAGUUAUGCUGCUUCAUAAUGAUGCCACACACACCUGAAAGCUCUCGCGUAGUGUGCGGUUGAUGUUGGAUUGUGGAAGCACAGACAGACUGUGCAUAAAGGAAUUCAGUACUGAGUGAGAUGAAUUAUUGGUUUUUCUCUGACAUAAGCUUUUUGUUGUUGUUGUUUUGAAAAGGAUAAACAUACUUUAUUCAUGGAGAAAUAUACAUCAUUCACAGAUCAAUGAAGCUCUGCUGUAAAUUUUGCAAUUAGGUAUUACUUUUGAAUUGCAAGAUGGCAUUUUAUGGAAAUCC